rnacentral:rRNA from 1 species
GCCCAAGAGAUCGGGAUAACACCUGGAAACAGAUGCUAAUACCGGAUAACAACAGAUGAUGCCUAUCAACUGUUUAAAAGAUGGUUCUGCUAUCACUCUUGGAUGGACCUGCGGUGCAUUAGCUAGUUGGUAGGGUAACGGCCUACCAAGGCGAUGAUGCAUAGCCGAGUUGAGAGACUGAUCGGCCACAUUGGGACUGAGACACGGCCCAAAACUCCUACGGGAGGCAGCAGCU